UGCCCCAGUAACGGCGAGUGAAGCGGCAACAGCUCAAAUUUGAAAUCUGGCCCCUAGGGUCCGAGUUGUAAUUUGUAGAGGAUGCUUUUGGUGAGGUGCCGCCCGAGUUCCCUGGAACGGGACGCCGCAGAGGGUGAGAGCCCCGUCUGGCUGGCCACCGAGCCUCUGUAAAGCUCCUUCGACGAGUCGAGUAGUUUGGGAAUGCUGCUCAAAAUGGGAGGUAUAUGUCUUCUAAAGCUAAAUAUUGGCCAGAGACCGAUAGCGCACAAGUAGAGUGAUCGAAAGAUGAAAAGCACCUUGAAAAGAGGGUUAAACAGUACGUGAAAUUGUUGAAAGGGAAGCGCUUGUGACCAGACUUGGGCGCGGCGAAUCAUCCGGGGUUCUCUCCGGUGCACUUCGCCGUGUUCAGGCCAGCAUCAGUUCGGCGCGGGGGAAAAAGGCUUCGGGAACGUGGCUGCUCCGGCAGUGUUAUAGCCCGUUGCAUAAUACCCUGCGCUGGACUGAGGACCGCGCAUCUGCAAGGAUGCUGGCGUAAUGGUCACCAGCGACCCGUCUUGAAAACACGGA
rnacentral:rRNA from 1 species